rnacentral:lncRNA from 1 species
AGUGGUGAGAGUGGGCAUCCUUAUCUUGUUCCAGUUCUCAAGGAGAACAGUUCCAGCUUUUGUUUCUUCAGGAUGAUGUUGACUCUGUGUUUGUCAUAGAUGGCUCUUAUUAUUUUGAGGCAUUGUGGAGACAAAGUUGAAUAAACAUGGAAAUUUUACAAUACGUUUAAAAUUCAGUAGAUCAAAAAUAAGAUUUCAACAUCUGUUGGAGAUGAUUAUUCAACAAACUUCAAGGUAGAUUUCAUCAAAAUUAUGUAAAUACAACAAAAGAAAGUGACAUAUAUAAAUGAUAUUAACACAUCAU